CGACCGCGACCCCAGGUCAGACGGGACUACCCGCUGAGUUUAAGCAUAUCAAUAAGCGGUGGAGA
rnacentral:rRNA from 1 species